rnacentral:rRNA from 1 species
GACGAACGCUGGCGGCGUGCUUAACACAUGCAAGUCGAACGGAAAGGCCCUGCUUUUGUGGGGUGCUCGAGUGGCGAACGGGUGAGUAACACGUGAGUAACCUGCCCUUGACUUUGGGAUAACUUCAGGAAACUGGGGCUAAUACCGGAUAGGAGCUCCUGCUGCAUGGGGGGGGUUGGAAAGUUUCGGCGGUUGGGGAUGGACUCGCGGCUUAUCAGCUUGUUGGUGGGGUAGUGGCUUACCAAGGCUUUGACGGGUAGCCGGCCUGAGAGGGUGACCGGGCACAUUGGGACUGAGAUACGGACCAGACGCCUACGGGAGGCAGUAGUCGGGAAUAUUGCACAAUGGGCGGGAGCCUGAUGCAGCAACGCCGCGUGCGUGAUGACGGCCUUUGGGUUGUAAACCGCUUUCGCCUGUGACGAAGCGUGAGUGACGGUAAUGGGUAAAGAAGCAACGGCUAACUACGUG